rnacentral:rRNA from 1 species
GAGACAGCAGUAGCCGCGGGAAUACGUAGGGUGCAAGCGUUAAUCGGAAUUACUGGGCGUAAAGCGUGCGCAGGCGGUUAUAUAAGACAGAUGUGAAAUCCCCGGGCUCAACCUGGGAACUGCAUUUGUGACUGUAUAGCUAGAGUACGGCAGAGGGGGAUGGAAUUCCGCGUGUAGCAGUGAAAUGCGUAGAUAUGCGGAGGAACACCGAUGGCGAAGGCAAUCCCCUGGGCCUGUACUGACGCUCAUGCACGAAAGCGUGGGGAGCAAACAGGAUUAGAUACCCGCGUAGUCCCUGUCUCUUAUAC